rnacentral:rRNA from 1 species
UACAGAGACCUCAAGCGUUAUCCGGAAUUAUUGGGCGUAAAGAGCUCGUAGGCGGUCUGUCGCGUCGGCUGUGAAAACCCGAGGCUCAACCUCGGGCCUGCAGUCGAUACGGGCAAACUAGAGUACUGCAGGGGAGACUGGAAUUCCUGGUGUAGCGGUGAAAUGCGCAGAUAUCAGGAGGAACACCGGUGGCGAAGGCGGGUCUCUGGGCAGUAACUGACGCUGAGGAGCGAAAGCGUGGGGAGCGAACAGG